ACUCCUGCGGGAGGCAGCAGUGGGGAAUUUUGGACAAUGGGCGAAAGCCUGAUCCAGCAAUGCCGCGUGAGUGAAGAAGGCCUUCGGGUUGUAAAGCUCUUUUGUCAGGGAAGAAACGGUGAAAGCUAAUAUCUUUUGCUAAUGACGGUACCUGAAGAAUAAGCACCGGCUAACUACGUGCCAGCAGCCGCGGUAAUACGUAGGGUGCAAGCGUUAAUCGGAAUUACUGGGCGUAAAGCGUGCGCAGACGGUUUUGUAAGUCUGAUGUGAAAUCCCCGGGCUCAACCUGGGAAUUGCAUUGGAGACUGCAAGGCUAGAAUCUGGCAGAGGGGGGUAGAAUUCCACGUGUAGCAGUGAAAUGCGUAGAUAUGUGGAGGAACACCGAUGGCGAAGGCAGCCCCCUGGGUCAAGAUUGACGCUCAUGCACGAAAGCGUGGGGAGCAAACAGGAUUAGAAACCCUAGUAGUCCCAUGAU
rnacentral:rRNA from 1 species